ACUUUCUGUUAUGUCAGGAAGACCAUCUGCUUCCAGACUGCGGUUAACCGCGAGAGACUAAAACCUCAGAAAGCAAAACCAUGGAUAAGGAGGGACUACUGUAUAGGCAGAGAAGCGACACAUGACAACAGACAAUGUUCUUCACCUCAGCAUGAUUUUCAUAACAGAUGCACGGAUGGAUUUCCCUUCUUGUAAAACUGCAGCUCAGGGAAAGCAAGUCUAUGAGCGACUUAAAUAUAAUUCACAGAGGUUGAAGGAUAAAGUUAAGAGGAGAUAAAUGAUAUGGCCUGGAAGAGGCAUACACUACUAUGAGACAGAUGCCACCCCCAUUGGCGGUUGUGUAUCACUUCCUGAAUACAUCAUUCUGAUGCAGUACUUGGAAACAGGCUUCAAGGCUGCAAAUCAUAGACUGAGGGACAAAUAGUGCUUCUCUUUGAGGUAAAAAAUACAAUAUAUGUAUAUAUGG